rnacentral:rRNA from 1 species
CUAUACUACGGAGGCAGCAGUAGGGAAUUUUCGUCAAUGGGCGCAAGCCUGAACGAGCAAUGCCGCGUGAACGAGGAAGGUCUUCGGAUCGUAAAGUUCUGUUGAAGGGGAAAAAGAGCGGAGAGAGGAAAUGAACUCCGAUUGAUAUUACCCUUCGAGGAAGUCACGGCUAACUACGUGCCAGCAGCCGCGGUAAUACGUAGGUGGCGAGCGUUAUCCGGAAUGAUUGGGCGUAAAGGGUGCGUAGGCGGCCUGCUAAGUCUGGAGUGAAAGGUACCGGCCCACCCGGUCCAG